AUCAGGCUGCCUCAUCUGCCAGCGGGAAGGCCGGGGGCGUUGAAUCCGGCGACCCCCUCCUCUUCGCAGGCGGAUCCGGCUGCCCGGA
rnacentral:pre_miRNA from 1 species